rnacentral:rRNA from 1 species
GGCGGAGGAUUCAAGCGUUAUCCGGAAUUAUUGGGCGUAAAGGGUGCGUAGGUGGUCAGACAAGUCCCAUGUCAAAGCAUGGUGCUUAACGCCAUAAAGGCGUGGGAAACUGUGUGACUAGAGUACAGCAGGGGCAGGAGGAAUUCCCGGUGUAGCGGUGAAAUGCGUAGAUAUCGGGAAGAACACCAGUGGCGCAAGCGUUCUGCUGGGCUGUAACUGACACUGAGGCAAGAAAGCUAGGGGAGCGAAAGGG